CAAGUCGAACGCGAAAUUUCCCUUCGGGGAGAAAGUAGAGUGGCGCACGGGUGAGUAACACGUAGGUAAUCUACCUUCGGAUGGGGAAUAACAAUCGGAAACGGUUGCUAAUACCGCAUAAUGCAGCGGCACCUAAUGGUGACAGUUGUUAAAGCGGGGGAUCGAAAGACCUCGCGUCUGAAGAGGAGCCUGCGGCGGAUUAGCUAGUUGGUAAGGUAAUGGCUUACCAAGGCUACGAUCCGUAACCGGCCUGAGAGGGCGGUCGGUCACACUGACACUGACAUACGGGUCAGACUCCUACGGGAGGCAGCAGUCGGGAAUUUUGGGCAAUGGGCGAAAGCCUGACCCANCAACGCCGCGUGAAGGAUGAAAUCCCUCGGGAUGUAAACUUCGCAAGAAUAGGAAGAAUAAGUAGGGGACAAUACCCCCUAUGAUGACGGUACUGUUUGUAAGCUCCGGCUAACUCCGUGCCAGCAGCCGCGGUAAUACGGGGGGAGCAAGCGUUGUUCGGAUUUACUGGGCGUAAAGGGCGCGUAGGCGGUCAGCACAAGUCAGUUGUGAAAUCUCCGAGCUUAACUCGGAAAGGUCAACUGAUACUGUGCGACUAGAGUGCAGAAGGGGCAACUGGAAUUCUCGGUGUAGCGGUGAAAUGCGUAGAUAUCGAGAGGAACACCUGCGGCGAAGGCGGGUUGCUGGGCUGACACUGACGCUGAGGCGCGAAAGCUAGGGGAGCGAACGGGAUUAGAUACCCCGGUAGUCCUAGCCUUAAACGAUGAAUGCUUGGUGUCUGGGGUUAUAAAGUCCCCGGGUGCCGUCGCUAACGCUUUAAGCAUUCCGCCUGGGGAGUACGGUCGCAAGACUGAAACUCAAAGGAAUUGACGGGGACCCGCACAAGCGGUGGA
rnacentral:rRNA from 1 species